AUCUAGCCCCGAUGGAAGCGUUAUCCUUUUUCCUGCUUCUUCAGCAGGGAAAAGAUAUAGUCCCGAUAGCUAUCGGGACGGGAC
rnacentral:sRNA from 1 species